AACGUUCAUUUCUCAACAUUCCUACUCCUUUAAGGGUUAACAUGUAAAUGAAAAUGCUGUGAGCUAUACAAAUGCAAAUCAGGGUAGCAGGGAGAGUGAACUGUGCAUGCUGGCAUGACUGUGGCCUUUGGUCUUGCUUAAACAACUCCCAGUAAUACGCUCAACAGGCAGAAAUGAUGCUGGGUAUGACAUGUCUGUUCCCUGCAAGCUCCAAUAAUGUAACCUGACUUAAAACAGUCGAUAGAGUUUAGAUUCAGAUUUUCCCUUCACACCAACACAAUGAGAAUUUCAGAGGCAAAUAUAUAAAUGAUUGUCUUUAUCACUAUCUUCAUUCAACAAAAAUAUAUGCAAAACUGAAUGCAGAGAAUGGACAUCUGCUUUCGGAAAAUCAGAGCCAGCCGUAGCCUACCAGGGUUCACUCGGAGACACAUAGGCGCUACCGGAGCAAUGACUAACUUUGCCUCUUAAUGGGAUCGUGGGAGAGAAAAACUUUAAGAAGAGAAGACUGGUGCACAAUCCCAAGCUUGCGGAAGCAGUACGCCGUCUUCACAACUCGGAGACAAAUUGCAGGCGCUACGAACUGGAGCAAGGACUAAUCUCGCCUCAUAAUGAGGCGGUGACCUCCUAUUUGCUCGGAGCAAUAUCUGCAAGUCCAGAUUUACACGAUGUUGAUAAAGACGACAUUGUGUCCGCCUGUAAGACAUAUUACGAGACGGUACGCAGGAGCUUUAGAUAUACCCAGCCAGAAAACUCAUUGCGGGCGGAAGCUGCGAAGAGUUCAGCUCGGAGUCGAGCGAGAAGAAAGAGGCUGCUGGAAUCGAGACAGAGUGUGCUAGCAGAUGACGAGGUGGAACUCUGGAA